rnacentral:rRNA from 1 species
GACGAACGCUGGCGGCGUGCUUAACACAUGCAAGUCGAACGGUGAAGCUCCAGCUUGCUGGAGUGGAUCAGUGGCGAACGGGUGAGUAACACGUGAGCAACCUGCCCCUGACCCUGGAAUAAGCGCUGGAAACGGCGUCUAAUACUGGAUACGAGAAGGGUCCGCAUGGGCACUUUCUGGAAAGUUUUUCGGUUGGGGAUGGGCUCGCGGCCUAUCAGCUUGUUGGUGAGGUAAUGGCUCACCAAGGCGACGACGGGUAGCCGGCCUGAGAGGGCGACCGGCCACACUGGGACUGAGACACGGCCCAGACUCCUACGGGAGGCAGCAGUGGGGAAUAUUGCACAAUGGGCGAAAGCCUGAUGCAGCGACGCCGCGUGAGGGAUGACGGCCUUCGGGUUGUAAACCUCUUUCAGCAGGGAAGAAGCGAAAGUGACGGUACCUGCAAAAGAAGCACCGGCUAACUACGUG